GACGUAGGGCGCGAGCGUUGUCCGGAUUUAUUGGGCGUAAAGAGCUCGUAGGCGGCUUGUCGCGUCGGCUGUGAAAUCCCGUGGCUCAACUGCGGGUCUGCAGCCGAUACGGGCAGGCUAGAGUUCGGUAGGGGAGACUGGAAUUCCUGGUGUAGCGGUGAAAUGCGCAGAUAUCAGGAGGAACACCGGUGGCGAAGGCGGUUCUCUGGGCCUUACCUGACACUGAGGAGCGAAAGCGUGGGGGAGCGAACAGG
rnacentral:rRNA from 1 species